rnacentral:rRNA from 1 species
GUACAUGCCUACAACAGAGCAUUAAUGCAUCGGAUCCCAUUAGAACUUCACAGUUAAGCACACUCGAGCUAGAGUAGUACUAGGAUGGGUGACUGCUCGAGAAGUCCUAGUGUUUUACAUG